rnacentral:rRNA from 2 species
CUGGCUCAGGAUGAACGCUGGCGGCGUGCCUAAUACAUGCAAGUCGAACGAGUUCUCGUUGAUGAUCGGUGCUUGCACCGAGAUUCAACAUGGAACGAGUGGCGGACGGGUGAGUAACACGUGGGUAACCUGCCCUUAAGUGGGGGAUAACAUUUGGAAACAGAUGCUAAUACCGCAUAGAUCCAAGAACCGCAUGGUUCUUGGCUGAAAGAUGGCGUAAGCUAUCGCUUUUGGAUGGACCCGCGGCGUAUUAGCUAGUUGGUGAGGUAAUGGCUCACCAAGGCGAUGAUACGUAGCCGAACUGAGAGGUUGAUCGGCCACAUUGGGACUGAGACACGGCCCAAACUCCUACGGGAGGCAGCAGUAGGGAAUCUUCCACAAUGGACGCAAGUCUGAUGGAGCAACGCCGCGUGAGUGAAGAAGGCUUUCGGGUCGUAAAACUCUGUUGUUGGAGAAGAAUGGUCGGCAGAGUAACUGUUGUCGGCGUGACGGUAUCCAACCAGAAAGCCACGGCUAACUACGUGCCAGCAGCCGCGGUAAUACGUAGGUGGCAAGCGUUAUCCGGAUUUAUUGGGCGUAAAGCGAGCGCAGGCGGUUUUUUAAGUCUGAUGUGAAAGCCCUCGGCUUAACCGAGGAAGCGCAUCGGAAACUGGGAAACUUGAGUGCAGAAGAGGACAGUGGAACUCCAUGUGUAGCGGUGAAAUGCGUAGAUAUAUGGAAGAACACCAGUGGCGAAGGCGGCUGUCUGGUCUGUAACUGACGCUGAGGCUCGAAAGCAUGGGUAGCGAACAGGAUUAGAUACCCUGGUAGUCCAUGCCGUAAACGAUGAAUGCUAGGUGUUGGAGGGUUUCCGCCCUUCAGUGCCGCAGCUAACGCAUUAAGCAUUCCGCCUGGGGAGUACGACCGCAAGGUUGAAACUCAAAGGAAUUGACGGGGGCCCGCACAAGCGGUGGAGCAUGUGGUUUAAUUCGAAGCAACGCGAAGAACCUUACCAGGUCUUGACAUCUUUUGAUCACCUGAGAGAUCAGGUUUCCCCUUCGGGGGCAAAAUGACAGGUGGUGCAUGGUUGUCGUCAGCUCGUGUCGUGAGAUGUUGGGUUAAGUCCCGCAACGAGCGCAACCCUUAUGACUAGUUGCCAGCAUUUAGUUGGGCACUCUAGUAAGACUGCCGGUGACAAACCGGAGGAAGGUGGGGAUGACGUCAAAUCAUCAUGCCCCUUAUGACCUGGGCUACACACGUGCUACAAUGGAUGGUACAACGAGUUGCGAGACCGCGAGGUCAAGCUAAUCUCUUAAAGCCAUUCUCAGUUCGGACUGUAGGCUGCAACUCGCCUACACGAAGUCGGAAUCGCUAGUAAUCGCGGAUCAGCACGCCGCGGUGAAUACGUUCCCGGGCCUUGUACACACCGCCCGUCACACCAUGAGAGUUUGUAACACCCGAAGCCGGUGGCGUAACCCUUUUAGGGAGCGAGCCGUCUAAGGUGGGACAAGAU